GCCGCAAAGGCAACUCAGUCGGGAGAGCGUUAGACUGAAGACCUAAAGGUCGCCGGUUCGAUCCCGGCUCGUGGUA
rnacentral:tRNA from 1 species